GGGGAUUUAGCUCAGUGGUAGAGCGCUUGCCUAGCAAGUGCAAGCAAGCGCAAGGCCCUGGGUUCGGUCCCCAGCUCCA
rnacentral:tRNA from 1 species